rnacentral:rRNA from 1 species
CAGUAGCCACGGUAACACGGAGGGGGCUAGCGUUGUUCGGAAUUACUGGGCGUAAAGCGCACGUAGGCGGCUUGGUAAGUUAGAGGUGAAAGCCCGGAGCUCAACUCCGGAAUUGCCUUUAAGACUGCCGAGCUAGUAGGUGAGAGAGGUAAGUGGAAUUCCGAGUGUAGAGGUGAAAUUCGUAGAUAUUCGGAAGAACGCCAGUGGCGAAGGCGGCUUACUGGCUCAUUCUAGACGCUGAGGUGCGAAAGCGUGGGGAGCAAACAGGAUUAGAUACCCGGGUAGUCCCUGUCUCUUAUAA